CCAGCAGCCGCGGUAAUUCCAGCUCCAAUAGCGUAUAUUAAAGUUGUUGCAGUUAAAAAGCUCGUAGUUGGAUUUCGGAAGGUCCUUAGCAGUCCGCCCCUUCGGGGAGCGGGUUGCUGGCCUCCUAUGUUCCUAACGGUCCUCAUCCGCGAGGGUGGGGAAUCAACCGCUAGGAUCGUUUACUUUGAGGAAAUUAGAGUGUUCAAAGCAGGCGUAACUCGCCUCCGAAUACGUUAGCAUGGGAUAAUGGAAUACGACUUCGGUCUUGUUUCGUUGGUUUCGCUUGGCUGAAGUAAUGAUUGAUAGGGACAGUUGGGGGCAUUAGUAUUUAGUUGUCAGAGGUGAAAUUCUAGGAUUUACUAA
rnacentral:rRNA from 1 species